UUGCGGGGCCCUUUCAGCUUGUUGGUGAGGUAAUGGCUCACCAAGGCGACGACGGGUAGCCGGCCUGAGAGGGUGACCGGCCACACUGGGACUGAGACACGGCCCAGACUCCUACGGGAGGCAGCAGUGGGGAAUAUUGCACAAUGGGCGAAAGCCUGAUGCAGCGACGCCGCGUGAGGGAUGACGGCCUUCGGGUUGUAAACCUCUUUCAGUAGGGAACAAGGCCAGACGUUGUCUGGUUGAGGGUACUUGCAGAAGAAGCGCCGGCUAACUACGUGCCAGCAGCCGCGGUAAUACGUAGGGCGCAAGCGUUAUCCGGAAUUAUUGGGCGUAAAGAGCUCGUAGGCGGUUUGUCGCGUCUGCCGUGAAAGUCCGGGGCUCAACCCCGGAUCUGCGGUGGGUACGGGCAGACUAGAGUGAUGUAGGGGAGACUGGAAUUCCUGGUGUAGCGGUGAAAUGCGCAGAUAUCAGGAGGAACACCGAUGGCGAAGGCAGGUCUCUGGGCAUUAACUGACGCUGAGGAGCGAAAGCAUGGGGAGCGAACAGGAUUAGAUACCCUGGUAGUCCAUGCCGUAAACGUUGGGCACUAGGUGUGGGGGACAUUCCACGUU
rnacentral:rRNA from 1 species